rnacentral:rRNA from 1 species
CCAGCAGCUGCGGUAAUUCCAGCUCCAAUAGCGUAUAUUAAAGUUGUUGCGGUUAAAAAGCUCGUAGUUGGAUUUCUGCCGAGGACGACCGACCGGCCCAAACGGGCUUGCGUCUGGUUAGACCGAGGCAUCCUCUUGGAAGACGUGCUGUACUUCAUUGUACACACGGAGUCCAGGACUUUUACUUUGAGGAAAUUAGAGUGUUUCAAACAGGCUUUCGCCGUGAAUACAUUAGCAUGGAAUAAUAAGAUAGGACUUCGGUUCUAUUUUGUUGGUUUCUAGAACUGAAGUAAUGAUUAAUAGGGACAGUCGGGGGCAUUCGUACUUAACUGUCAGAGGUGAAAUUCUUGGAUUUGUUAAAGACGAACUACUGCGAAAGCAUUUGCCAAGGAUGUUUUCAUUGAUCAAGAACGAAAGU